UAGCAAUACCCUGAGUAAAGCGGCGCACGGGUGAGUAACACGUAGGUAACCUGCCCCUAAGACCGGGAUAACCCGUCGAAAGACGAGCUAAUACCGGAUAAGACCACGAUCCCUUCGGGGAUUGAGGUCAAAGAUGGCCUCUGCAUGCAAGCUAUCACUUAGAGAUGGGCCUGCGUACCAUUAGCUAGUUGGUAGGGUAACGGCCUACCAAGGCUCAGAUGGUUAGCUGGUCUGAGAGGAUGACCAGCCACACUGGAACUGAGACACGGUCCAGACUCCUACGGGAGGCAGCAGUGGGAAUCUUGCGCAAUGGGCGAAAGCCUGACGCAGCAACGCCGCGUGGGUGAUGAAGGCCUUCGGGUCGUAAAGCCCUGUCGGGAGGAACGAACGUUUCCGCCAUGAACAAUGGCGGAAAGUGACGGUACCUUCAAAGGAAGCACCGGCUAACUCCGUGCCAGCAGCCGCGGUAA
rnacentral:rRNA from 1 species